rnacentral:rRNA from 1 species
CCUACGGGAGGCAGCAGUGGGGAAUAUUGCGCAAUGGGCGAAAGCCUGACGCAGCGACGCCGCGUGAGGGAUGAAGGUCUUCGGAUCGUAAACCUCUGUCAGCAGGGAAGAACGGUAACUGUGCUAAUCAGCAGUGAAUUGACGGUACCUGCAAAGGAAGCACCGGCUAACUCCGUGCCAGCAGCCGCGGUAGUACGGAGGGGGCGAGCGUUAAUCGGAUUUACAGGGGGUAAAGCGCUCGUAGGCGGUAUGUCAAGUCAAGGGUGAAAUCCCCGCGCUCAACGUGGGAACUGCCUUUGAAACUGGCAGACUGGAGUGUAGGAGAGGAUAGUGGAAUUCCAGGUGUAGGGGUGAAAUCCGUAGAUAUCUGGAGGAACAUCAGUGGCGAAGGCGACUAUCUGGCACAUAACUGACGCUGAGGAGCGAAAGCGUGGGUAGCAAACAGGAUUAGAUACCCCAGUAGUC